UAAACUCUUGUCUUUUUGCUUCUUUUAG
rnacentral:piRNA from 1 species